rnacentral:rRNA from 1 species
GACGAACGCUGGCGGCAGGCCUAACACAUGCAAGUCGAACGAGUGGCGGACGGGUGAGUAAUGUCUGGGAAACUGCCUGAUGGAGGGGGAUAACUACUGGAAACGGUAGCUAAUACCGCAUACCAUCAGAUGUGCCCAGAUGGGAUUAGCUAGUUGGUGGGGUAACGGCUCACCAAGGCGACGAUCCCUAGCUGGUCUGAGAGGAUGACCAUUCACCCGUGAACUUAGAUACGGUCCAGUCUCCUACGUGAGACAGCAGUGGGGAGUAUUGCACAAUGGGCGCAAGCCUGCUGCAGCCAUGCCGCGUGUAUGAAGAAGGCCGUCGGGUUGUAAAGUACUUUCAGCGGGGAGGCGUUACCCGCCGAAGAAGCACCGGCUAACUCCGUGCCAGCCGCCGCGGUAAUAC